AUGCACUGUCCCAAGGGCCUUCAAUGCCCAUCAGUGCCCCGAUCAUCGGUCGUCCCUCUGUCUGGCCCCAAAUCACGCCACGAACAGCACGACCAUUGUCGAGAUCUUCGGGGUACCUACAAAAUGGAAAAUGAAACACAGUAGAUGCGAAAAAUCAGAGGCAGAAAAAGGAAACUAAGAUAAAGGAAUCUCAGCAGAUCACGGUCAGAGAUACGGUGGACACAAUAGACAAGAAAUGGAAAGAAAUCGAAGAUUUCUUUCCCAACUUAUGAAUGAAAUACUGGCUAUAAAGCCAUCUUUUGUAACCUGUAAAUGGAUCCAGACAGUUGAUGAAAA
rnacentral:lncRNA from 1 species